rnacentral:sRNA from 1 species
CCGUAGUAUUAUGUGUCCCGUCAUUAUAUCGAAACCCGUAACUUAUUACUUUCACUCACUUUUCAGUCGAAUUUUUGUCAUACUCCCAAGGUUUUACUGAUUCACGAUGCUAAAGGCGCGUUUAUCGUCCACGCACUGUGUCUGCUUCAGAAUCACCAAGUUCAUUGAUGCCCAGCCUCUAUUUCUAACUUCUGCUCUUUCUUUCCUCCUUACUUCGAUACGGCCCAAAACUGGCCUUGAUUGCAACGCAUUGGCUGUUGUGGUCCAAUAACUCACACACUGUAUAAUAGACCGGCUAUCUGGCUAUAGAACAGUCCUGUGAGCGGAAAUCCGGGCAUUUAUACUCAGUCUCUGGAUAUUCGCCAUAAACAUCCAGACACGUUCUCUCACCUAGUUUCAUUCCAUUUUUGUACCUACUGGUUGGCAAUACCAGAGUUUAAUCAAGCCAAGAAUGCACUCGCACUCAAGUCUCCAAUAGUAGCAGGUAUUCAUAGAACUACAACCAGAAAUAAGGAGUAAGAAUCUCGGGCGGAGUAUUUAAUCUGAGUGCAGUUCGAAGUCGGAGCAACUAUUACCAUGCGGCUUUUCCAAUCUCUCAGAGCCUGGUCCCCACCUGACAUUAGUCUAAGGUUUGGACCCUCUGACCAGGAUAGCCUAUCGUUACGUCGUGGCCUGCGGAAAAUAGAUGUUCAUGGAUGGCUCUUAGAAGUCGUAUCACGCCUUGGCGCUAAUCCCGAGAAAGCUGGGCUGGCUUUGCUAAUAGCCUACCAAUGUCGCGGUUUGCAUUAACCGUUAUACCAUUUAUUUUUAUUUAUUUCUUAUUCAUUAUUGUGAUGGUCGAAAAUAUGUUCGCGUAUAACAGUUUGAAGAUAAUUGUGGUAACUGUUAUACAAUGAGAGAAUACACAAUUUUUAAAAAUAUAUUUGUGUAUAAUAGUUGGUUUAUAAUUGCGUUAAUUGUUAUAAUAUGUUUCAUGACUAUCUGCACAUUCUAAAAUGACAUAUAGAAAUAUCGGGAGUAAUAUUUUUAUUCCGCCCCGAACAUUUUACUGUAGAACACUUCCUAACAAAAUGGCAGACUUAUUACUAUUUGUUUUUACAUCCUAUGAAGAAAAUAUAAAUUGUAAUAUAAAUAAAAAAUAUAUUUCUGUAUAACA